rnacentral:pre_miRNA from 1 species
UCUAAAACUUGAGAUAUGAGCUGAAUAGUGUCUGAGCUGUAGGACAGAUUCCGACUUCUCUGUCAUUGCUAAGAUUUGGACUUCCAAACAGUAGAAUUGAGUCUUGAACUCCCAUAAAUGUUUUAGGCCUAUGUCUUAGCUUUCUAGC